AUGUCGUAGUAAUGUAGCAGUAAGUUGAUAGUAGUAAGUUAGUAGUAAGUGUGUG
rnacentral:sRNA from 1 species